GACGAACGCUGGCGGCGUGCUUAACACAUGCAAGUCGAACGUGAUUUUUAAGGAAAGCCCUUCGGGGUGGGAAUUAAAAUGAAAGUGGCGAACGGGUGAGUAACAUGUGAGCAACCUACCUUACACAGGGGGAUAGCCGUUGGAAACGACGAUUAAUACCGCAUGAGACCACAGAAUCGCAUGAUAUAGGGGUCAAAGAUUUAUCGGUGUAAGAAGGGCUCGCGUCUGAUUAGCUAGUUGGAAGGGUAAAGGCCUACCAAGGCGACGAUCAGUAGCCGGUCUGAGAGGAUGAACGGCCACAUUGGAACUGAGACACGGUCCAAACUCCUACGGGAGGCAGCAGUGGGGAAUAUUGCACAAUGGGGGGAACCCUGAUGCAGCGACGCCGCGUGAGCGAAGAAGGUUUUCGAAUCGUAAAGCUCUGUCCUAUGAGAAGAUAAUGACGGUAUCAUAGGAGGAAGCCCGG
rnacentral:rRNA from 1 species